AAACGUACAAGUCGACAGGUAUGCUUUUGUGUUUUUGCACGCUUGGCUAACACUGUCAAUUAGAUUCAGAUUGCUUGCCAAACGCCUUUGUGGUUUCCCGGACAGUAGGGGGCGAUAUAUAUAGACAUCCAAUUCACCAAGAAGAAGAAUAAGUACCAGCACAAGAGCGAUACCACAUCCGGUUCAAUGAGCAAGUGUUUCCGUCGUCCACAAGCCCUUUUCUCAGUUAGUCGGAUUACUGGGCCGAAGGCGCAGCCGCCAGACUCGGAGGACAUGCGGAAGGGACACCACCCUGCAUUUGGACACGUAACAGACAAUCACAAAGCAGAGGAAAAAGUUGCAAGUUGGAUGGCAGUCUGCUUGUCGCUGGGUGGCAAGUGGUCAGCUCGUGAGAAGAACGUCGGACAAGUGCGCCGACCUGAGAAGAAAGACAUUUGUGAGUUACACGCAAGUCAAUGUCUUGUGCAGACAAAGAUGUUGUCGGCAUGUAACUUACCAGCGAGGUAGACAACCAAAAUGCAGUUCCACUAUACCCGAACCUGCUGCCGCACAAGCUCUUCAUUUUUCAACCAAUUAAUUCACUGGAAUCUUUUGCCGCAACACUUGGUCCAGCAUGAUCAGCACCAACAGGCCAAGCUGCUACUGGUCCAGUGACUCAUCCAAGGUGGUCUAACCUGCCAAUGUCACAAACGAGGCUCGUCAACUCCUUUUUGUACCUUUGAACGGCAACGUUGAAAAUGGAGGCAGCGGUGAGGACCUGCUACAAGCUUGUCGCAUUUGUCUCUUUGCCCAGCAGGCAGAGGGUCUGACUGGAAGCUGCACUGCAUGCAGAAUGAAAGAAAACGCAGGUGAGCGUGCUUGAAAAUUCAAUGUGCUAUGCUUUUUGUUUGUAGCUUCUGUCACCUGACGGCAUGCAUGACAUCAGGUGGAUCGUGAAGCCACGUUUCCCCGAGGGCCUGCACCAGCGCCGCCUCCAACCAACAGUUCCAGGACUUGGAUUGGAAUUUUGCGACAGGCCCAAACCUUGAGGACGACUCGACUUCACAAUGCGUUAUCUGGUUCUUCAGCACCACCUGGUGGAUAAGAGCGGGACAAACGCAAUGCUGAGUAAAUGUCUUGGGGUCACGCUCCCGCCCAUUUCCCCCCUGGUGCAACACCUGAUUCAAAUGAUCAGAUCAUCAGCAAGGUCGUUGAAAGCCGGACAGCAAAUCUGAUCAUUUGUCUCAGUGUGCGAGAGGGCAAGAAAGGAGCCCCGCCACCGUUUCAUUUUUGCCACAGGUGCGCCGGCUCACCCAGCUCUCUCUCAAACUUUUUUUCAAAUUUCUGGGUUUGACACCUGCGCUCAAUUAUGUGCUUUUGUAAUUUCGAGUACUCGCACCUUUGCACCUCUAUAAAAGAGUUGGCUUCACUUGUGAAGAGCAGAGCUGGACGCUUCUUCGACAGCACGGCGGCCUGAAAGACACGGUAACGUUAGCCCUCGACCCUUUAAUAUUCAAACCUUCCAAGCGUGUGACUGGGCACCCUGAUAUUUGGAAGACCCAAACGAGCCAGGAUGGCGGCCAUUUUGUCAAGGUGAGCCUGCGUAGACAGAAAUGAGAAUAGACGCAUUCGGGAUUUAGUCUGCUAUGUAUUCAAAAGUGGCAGUUUUACCUUGUUGCAGUCGAUUUGGCCAUUCUGUAGAAGAUGCAAAGCCUGUGGAUAGAAAAGAGACAAAUUAGUUGGGCUUGCUCCAAAUGGUUCACAAUUUAAAUUGCACAUUGGAACGCACAGCAAGUGUCCCAUUUUAGACGCGAUUUGAAGAUUUGUCCCUGUGAACAGAAAAGGCACAAUUAGUAUGCACAUUCUGUUUAAUUGUGGAAAUGAGUUGUCUACUUACCCUCUCGGCGAAUAUAGCUUUCCUAGGAAGUUGGAGAAAAAAAGCGUUUGUUGCAAGGUCGCAGGAGACGUUAAUUGCAAUGCUCGAGCAAACAUUUGCGUUGAACGUGCUGCUUUCCAUUCAAAGUGAGGAAACGUGAGUGUGUUGAGAGGCUAUUAAAGAGUAAAAAGUCA